AUCUAAACAGUCCAUCAUUUCAGAUCUUGAAAUCAGAAAAUUCAUCAUAAGUGAACUUACCCAGAUUCUUGGUGACUUCCUAGUCCGUGGAUUGAGUUUUUUAAAUUUUCAUGACGAGAUCCGACAGGACUUGGAUAUGAGCGAGAUAGGUACCUUUGCCAUAGUAGCUGAGACAGAGUGACUGCAUAAUAUCAAUUAACUUCCAAUUGGAGGCCAUAAUUUGGACAAACACUGUAGACUCUUUUAGUCUUAGUGCAUCAAGAACUACAUUUCCUCUACCGAGGUGGUAGAUAAUCUUCCAGUCAUAGUCUUUCAAGAGGUCCAUCCAGUGUCUCUGUCUCAUAUUCAACUCCCUUUGUGAGAAGAUGU
rnacentral:lncRNA from 1 species